UUCGAGAAGGUUGAGACAACAAGGCAGAUUGCAAAGAUAGGAAAGAUUGGGUCAAUUGAAAACAUUGCAUUGUCGAUACCUUGUACCUGCCAAUCUUUUACGAUUCAACAUUCCUUACUUUGCUAAUUUAACUGCUGAAAUGCUUCUCACAAUCAUGCAGGUAAAAAAAUGUUUAGCUCUUUACCUGUAAAUGUUUAAAAUUAAAUGUUAGCCGUUCCACAAUGAACGUGCUAUUUUGGCCGCUCAGUACACACGAAGCGUGCUGUCAGGAUUGUUUAUUUUUUCAAAAUUUACUUAAUUUGUUUCUGUUUUUAGUUAGGUAUUUAAAAUUGCGCAAACUAAGAUUAACUAUAUACAGAGGUUACGGCUGCGCUGAAUUCUAGGGGGCAAUAGCAUUAGCAAACACUGGAGACCCCCAUAAUUCUGGGGGGUAAUAGCAUUUUAGGUCGCUAGAGGCCCCCAGAAUUCUGGGGGUAAUAGGUGUGACCUUUUGGCUCUUCUUUUUAAGUCGUUGUUGGACACGAAAAAAAAUUCACUAUCGAAAUUUAAUUUCCUUUGUUUCAUUUGUCUUUGCAACAACCGAAAGAUUUGUGUAGGAAAUGUUGGUGACAUGGAUCGAUUAACAUAGUUAAUUGAGCCUUCGAUUGGUAACAGCAGAACAGCCAACAGUCUGUCAGAGGGGUCAGUGUGAGAUAAUGCAGAUUCCUACUUCCUAGCAACUCAGUAUUCGUUACUGUUCUUUUAUAAAAGUAUUUGCGAGGAAGGAUUGGUUUCGGGAUAGGGAGCCCUCAGCAAAUACAACAACGGGCAGAUAUUCAGGUUGUAGCACAAAACUUGAUAUUUAGUACAACCAUGAUUCUUCACAAACACCUAUACAGUAUGGAAAGCUUGACAGGAAAAUGAGGAUGAGUAAAAAAGGCCAAAUGUGAGACAUGGAAAAGGUCUGACAUAAUGGGCAUUUUGUUCACGCAGAUUUGGAACUUAAAAAAGAAAUCUGUUCUCAGUGAAAAGAUGAGAACUAUCUAUUGCGCAACAUUACGGAAUCCAAAGAUUCCUUACAGGUGACAUAGGUUAAUAUGGUCAUCAAGCUUCCACCUCCAUGUAUUGUACUGUACUCCAUUUAUCCAAAAUCCAUAUGUCAGCCGACUUACCUUCCUGGUUGCAAUGAAGAAGAAUCAUUAGUUGAAAGUAUUAAAAGAAGAUACCAUAUUGUGUGUUUAUUUUGAUAUAUCUCCUUACAGAUGAAGAGGUUAACAUGGUCAUCAGGCAUCCACCUCCAUGUACUGUACUGUAUUCCUUUUAUGUGAAAACCAUAUGUCAGCUGACUUGCCUUUCUGGUUGCAAUGAAGAAGAACCAUUAGAGUCAAAAUUAUUAAAUGGUGAUGCCAUAUUGUGCGUUCCUUUUGAAAUAUCUUUUUUCACAUUUCUUUAAGUAUUUACCCUAAUUUUCCUGUAACCUUGGUAACGAUUUAUUAAGAGGACAUCACUUGAUGAUACCCGGGAAAAGCAAUCACUACUGGGACGGAAAAUCACAGUACACGGGUCACAGUGUAAUAAUUUUUUUAGGAUGCCGACUGGGCUAAUUCCGCAUUUUUUAAUCAUCCUUGCUUUGUUGUUACAUUUCCUAUACUGCAGAGUAUAGUUUGACAGAUGUAUUCAAUCACUAUCACAGCCCACGCAAGAAUUUCAGCAAUAUCUGUAUCGUAGUAACGGACGACAAUAGCCCUCUGCAAUCUUCUUCCAUUCUACUAUUUCACCUCUAUUCCAUUGAUUCGAAGUUCAUUCCAACAGAAACAGUCUCACGUUCGAAAAUGUUUCUAUGCAGCGCAACGGAUCACUCAGAGCCACUUUUUUCAGUCUUGGGACAAGUGAAAUUCAAACCGGACGAGACCUAACGACGAAGCCUAAGAAACGGGAAAAGAGGAAUUAUUUUGCGAACAAGAAUGAUUUUUUUUUUUUAAUUUCACAUCUUGUAAACUAUCCAAAUCUCACACACCUUAGGGUUUUAUUCUGUCAUAAGUUUACUACAAUUUACACACUGGAUAUUUUACAAUUGCAUUUUGUGUGUAUAUUGGAGUAGGUCUUUCAUAGUAUAAAACCCCAAGCCAUGUGAUUUAUUCUCUAUCCGGAGAAAAAAAAAGUUUAAAAGAUGUGAAAUUUUAAAAUUUUAAUCAUUGUUUGCUAAUGUCUAUGACACGAUUUCUAUCUAUAACGAAAACGAUCUGCCUCGUAUGGAGAUCGAAGUAAAAUGUUCUGUUACGAAGGCUUCGCGAUCUAGACAGCUUUUUUCUCUGCAUUUGAUCAACCUGAACGUAAAAUCAAGUUUUGGCAAAAUUAAGAAAAAAGUUUCCUAUCUUGGGAGUUUAAACUGGCUGUUAAGGAAGUUAGAUACGAUGCCGAAGCUUAUGUCAUGACAGCGGGUAAAAAGAGCAAGUCGUCGGCUAAAAGAUUGCCUUGAAAUCUUAAGCCUUAUUGAAUAUUAGGUAUUGUGUUACAAUUGAAGAGCGUGUUAGAGCAACCAAAAAUGUGUGAUCGUUCGGAAGUCAUCUAUUUAAAGCGUUUUUACAAAUUGUCGAUACGAGACAAGCUUCACGCAUUCGCUGUAUUUCCCCGCGGAUUAAAUAUGGCCCCUUAUUUAUUUGAUCCAAGUCCACUAAUACCGUUGAUGCCUUCAUCAGUGUCUGUAUGAAGGAGUCGGUGGUGGAUACUGUACAAGAUUAUAAUCGUAGUCAAUCGACAGAGGAUAUUGAUGGAGGUCAGGUGUAAACAGUAACUGAAAUUCGUUGGAGGAGGGACCGAAGGUUUCCAGAUUCUUUUAUUUUCCCACGUGUUUUGGUAUUUUUACACAAAAAAAUUAAGUGCAUAUCUGGGCUCCCUUCUUUUCUGUGGCCCCGUUUCCCCUUGACUUAUGAUAAGCCCGUAGGGGGUCAUGCCCC